rnacentral:misc_RNA from 1 species
CUAAUACUAGGCAUUCAACUAUGGGUCAUUGAGUGUUUUUAGGACAUAAUCAUGUGUCUCGUGUUGCCAAGAAAGAACCUAUUGUGUCCCAAAAUAGUGUUGAAGUUGAAUAUCGUGCAUUGUUUGCUAUUGCUUUUGAAGGAAGUGGGCUUCAAUCCUUGUGACAUGAGUUACAUGCCAUUUGUCCCAAAAUAGUGUUGAAGUUGAAUAUCGUGCAUUGUUUGCUAUUGCUUUUGAAGGAAGUGGGCUUCAAUCCUUGUGACAUGAGUUACAUGCCAUU